GCCUGGGUGGCUCAGUCGGUUGGGCGUCUGACUUCGGCUCAGGUCAUGAUCUCGCAGUCUGUGAGUUCGAGCCCCACAUUGGGCU
rnacentral:tRNA from 1 species